AGGACGAACGCUGGCGGCGUGCUUAACACAUGCAAGUCGAGCGAGGCCCUUCCUUCGGGAAGGUGUCCUAGCGGCGAACGGGUGAGUAACACGUGGGCAACCUGCCCUCAGCUCUGGGAUAACUCCGGGAAACCGGGGCUAAUACCGGAUACGACCUCUAAGGGCAUCCGAAGAGGUGGAAAGUUUUUCGGCUGAGGAUGGGCCCACGGCCUAUCAGCUUGUUGGUGGGGUGACGGCCUACCAAGGCGACGACGGGUAGCCGGCCUGAGAGGGUGACCGGCCACACUGGGACUGAGACACGGCCCAGACUCCUACGGGAGGCAGCAGUGGGGAAUAUUGCGCAAUGGGCGAAAGCCUGACGCAGCGACGCCGCGUGAGGGACGAAGGCCUUCGGGUUGUAAACCUCUUUCAGCAGGGACGAAGCGAAAGUGACGGUACCUGCAGAAGAAGCACCGGCCAACUACGUGCCAGCAGCCGC
rnacentral:rRNA from 1 species